rnacentral:rRNA from 1 species
AGUGAACGCUGGCGGCGUGCUUAACACAUGCAGGUCGAACGAGAACGGAAUAUAGCUUGCUAUAUUUGUCAGCUAAGUGGCGCACGGGUGAGUAAUGUAUAGAUAACCUGCCCUUAAGAAAGGAAUAACAGUUGGAAACGACUGCUAAUGCCCUAUAUGCCUUUAAUACAUAAGUAUGCAAGGGAAACGCUUUAGUGCUUAAGGAUGGGUCUGUAUGGUAUCAGCUUGUUGGUGAGGUAAUGGCUCACCAAGGCUAUGACGCCUAACUGGUUUGAGAGGAUGAUCAGUCACACUGGAACCGAGACACGGUCCAGACUCCUACGGGAGGCAGCAGUGGGGAAUAUUGCACAAUGGACGAAAGUCUGAUGCAGCAACGCCGCGUGGAGGAUGACACAUUUCGGUGCGUAAACUCCUUUUAUAUAGGAAGAUAAUGACGGUACUAUAUGAAUAAGCACGGGCUAACUCCGUGCCAGCCGCCGCCGUAA